rnacentral:lncRNA from 1 species
UGACCGAGGCUUAGGCUCGCCUGCGUGGACGCUGGGGAUGCAGCCACCUAGUUUCUGAAACUGGGAAAAGGUCUGGGGGCUCCGGAGCCCCCACCUCCAUGCAGCCUCAGAUGUUGCUUAGCAACAGAUGCGCGCUCUGGGGUAGGCGGAUGGAUCUCCACCUGGGCCCAGUUCCCUCUCAUGGGACUACACGUCCUGUGCCUAACAGAGAGGUCAAAGAGUGGGGAUUUCCUGCAAAGCCAACCAGGCUCAGGGUGGCCCUGCCUAGGGUGGGAGGUAUCUCCAUGGCAACAGUGGAGUGGGACAAGUGGAGAGUAUUUCCCCACUCUCCCAGGCAGCUGCAGGGGCUCAGGACCUACGGAGUGCAAGUGAAGACACCUAUGUUGCAUCUUGCUGGAGAGGCACCUGGCACCUGCCCGCCCCAGCGUGCCUGGAGGGUUCCCACAUCCAGACGGACAGACGGGCCAGGGGACACCCGUCCAGGCAGCCAUGGCUGCUCAGCCACAGUCCCUGGAGGGUCAGGGGCCCAGCUGUGAGGCAGGCGGUGCCCAAGACGCUCUCUGGACCGCACUGCUUCAUCUGAGAGAAAGACUUUUGGAAGGCAUAGGUUGGGGCUCGCCUGGGAACCCCUCUCCAUCCCCCACCCAGACUCCAGCAGGCUGGAGUCAAGCUUGGCUGGGCAGCGGAGGAUCACUGGUGCACAGAGGGGUGAGUGGCUCCGCGUCUCCCCAAGCACCGCUCACCUGUGAGAUCACCGCCUGGCAGGGACGCCAGCACGGGCUCCC